rnacentral:rRNA from 1 species
UUAGAGUGUUUAAAGCAGGCUCACGCUUGAAUACAUUAGCAUGGAAUAAUGAAAUAGGACGUUUGAUUCUAAUUUUGUUGGUUUCCAGGAUCGACGUAAUGAUUAAUAGGGAUAGUUGGGGGCAUUAGUAUUCAAUUGUCAGAGGUGAAAUUCUUGGAUUUAUUGAAGACUAACUACUGCGAAAGCAUUUGCCAAGGAUGUUUUCAUUAAUCAAGAACGAAAGUUAGGGGAUCGAAGACGAUCAGAUACCGUCGUAGUCUUAACCAUAAACUACGCCGACUAGGGAUCGGAUGAUGUUAAUUUUUUAAUGACUCAUUCGGCGCCUUACG